GUUCUGCUUCCCUCCCCUUUCGUGUCUCUGUGCCUCUCUCAUCACAGUUUUCCUGACUCCCGAUCCUGGGGUCUCUGAUGCCCUGCUUAGCCUCUGCUCCACAGGAGAGGACAGUGACGGAGCACUGGGAAGGAGAGGAAGAGAUGAGAUUGCUCUGACUGGUGGAGAGGAGUAGGGCGAUGGGGAGCCUCAGGGGUCUGGGACAUGAUCAUUUAGGUGGCUUGGCCCACAGUUGCCAAAAUUUCCUUCUUAGGAAGGAAACUGAUUUGUGAAGGGUUCACUGACUGCCUUCUCUUUUUGCAUCCUAAUGACUCCACAGAUCACAGGCGAGGUCUCCUCACUUUUUGUAGUCUGCCUGUGCACUCUCACCUCACACAGCCCUCCCCACAAGAAUCCUAGCCCCAACCUCUACUACUUACAGGUCCUCAAAAUGUUCUUUUCCUGCUAUGUACCUGAGUGUCAUUUCCCACUUCAGAAAGCCACUCAGCUGUCACUUCCUUAGCUACACCUCCACCCAGAUUGACUCUGUCCUUCCAUUCAUUCAUAUCAAGUGUCAAUUAUGUGCAGGUAAAAUUCUAGGAACUGAUACACAACACAAUCAAAAGAGCAAAUCCCUGUUUUCAUAGUACUUACAUUUUGGAGAACAGCGACAUAUCAUAAAAUAAGGUACUAAAAUAUGUAGUAUAUUAAAGAAGUACUAAGGGAAAAAAUCAUAGGGAAACAAGAUAG
rnacentral:lncRNA from 1 species